UAACAUUUUAAUAGUUAAUGGAUGAUGGGCAUGAUAAGCAUUAUGGGCAUAUUUUUAUUGGAAUUAUGGCAUGAGUAUGGCACAAAUAUUAGUAUAUCAUUUAUGUGUCAUAAAAUGUUGAGUGAUAAGAAUAACAAAAGGAAGUAAAGGAAGGUUGUUGUUCAUUCUUUGUUCUUCAUAGCUGAAUUUGAGAGAGAGAGCAAAUAGGGGAGGAAACCCUUGAAUAUUCGGUCACUAGGAGGGGGAAAAAUUGAAGGUGUGGUUGGCCGAAUAUUGUAAGGGGUUUGUCAUAACCAUUUGUUGGAAAACGGGAAUCGACUUGGAUUUUGAGAAUGAAAACUAAAAAAAGCUGGAGUCGCCACCGAUUUUUUUUGAUGAGGUGUGAUCGGGUCACCUUUGAUUAAUCAUUUUAAUAAAGUUUAAGAUUUACUAAAA